CGCCAGGCUACAUCCCCCUCCACAUCCUGAACCGCCGCGCCCUCUCCGACCGAGACGACGACUGCCACGACCACUGCUACCGCGGCGACCCGGCCCCGGCCAAGUGCAGCAGUCCGGCGCAGUGUGAAGACGAGUCUUCCUCAGAGUUCAUGAAGCAGCUGGGACCCAUCGGCCUUCCACACGACAUCAACGUCCAGUCACUGUUCGACCCCACAGGUCAGUGCUGUGCUCACCUGCAGUGUGCCGCCUGGUCAGAAGGCGUAAGGCAGGGCGAUGGCCAGUCCCUGCUCUACGUGGACAAAGCCAUCGACUUGGGGAGCACUCAG